UGGGGAAUAUUGGACAAUGGGGGCAACCCUGAUCCAGCCAUGCCGCGUGAGUGAUGAAGGCCUUCGGGUUGUAAAGCUCUUUUGGCGGGGACGAUGAUGACGGUACCCGCAGAAUAGGCCCCGGCUAACUUCGUGCCAGCAGCCGCGGUAAGACGAAGGGGGCUAGCGUUGUUCGGAAUUACUGGGCGUAAAGCGAGUGUAGGCGGUUGCCGUAGUCAGGUGUGAAAGCCUUGAGCUCAACUCAAGAAAUGCACUUGAUACUGGGUGACUAGAGGACCGGAGAGGAUAGUGGAAUUCCCAGUGUAGUGGUGAAAUACGUAGAGAUUGGGAAGAACACCAGUGGCGAAGGCGGCUAUCUGGACGGUUACUGACGCUAAGACUCGAAAGCGUGGGGAGCAAACAGGAUUAGAUACCCUGGUAGUCCACGCCGUAAACGAUGGGUGCUAGACGUUGGCGAGCUUGCUCGUCAGUGUCGCAGCUAACGCGUUAAGCA
rnacentral:rRNA from 1 species